rnacentral:rRNA from 1 species
GAUGAACGCUGGCGGUGUGCCUAACACAUGCAAGUCGAACGACAAGACAAGGAGAUCUUUCUCUUGACGUUAGCGGCGGGCGGGCGAGUAACAAAUGGAUCAGCAACUUAUUUUUCUGGGGUAAUAACGGGAAGACGGUUCUACUAAUACCUCAUACAAUCAACCGCAUGGAUCAAUAGUGAAAGACGGCUUUCCUGUUUCAUUUAGCAGGAUCCGUGUCGCAUUAGCUAGUUGGUAAGGUAACGGCUUACCAAGGCAACGAUGCGUAGCCGACCUGAGAGGAUGAUCGGCCACACUGGAACUGAGACACGGUCCAGACUCCUACGGGAGGCAGCAGUAGGGAAUCUUCCGCAAUGGGCGAAAGCCUGACGGAGCAACGCCGCGUGAGUGAUGAAGGUCUUCGGAUCGUAAAGCUCUGUUAUUAGGGAAGAACAAAUGUGUAAGUAACUAUGCACGUCUUGACGGUACCUAAUCAGAAAGCCACGGCUAACUACGUG